GGCUACUGCUAUUGGGAUUCGACUAAGCCAUGCGAGUCAAGGUGUCUUCGGACGCCGGCGUACGGCUCAGUAACACGUAGGUAACCUACCCUCAGGACUGAGAUAACCCCGGGAAACUGGGGCUAAUAUUAGAUAGAUAAAAGAUACUGGAAUGUUCUUUUAUCCAAAGCUUUUGCGCCUGAGGAUGGGCCUGCGUCCGAUUAGGUUGUUGGUGGGGUAAUGGCCCACCAAGCCUACGAUCGGUACGGGCAGUGAGAGCUGAAGCCCGGAGUUGGGGACUGAGACAAGGCCCCAGGCCCUACGGGGCGCAGCAGGCGCGAAACCUCUGCAAUGCGGGAAACCGUGACAGGGGGAUCCCAAGUGCUCAUGCAUUGCAUGGGCUGUUCUUUGGUCUAAGUAACCAGAGGAGUAAGGGCUGGGCAAGACCGGUGCCAGCCGCCGCGGUAAUACCGGCAGCUCAAGUGGUAGCCGCGAUUAUUGGGCCUAAAGCGUUCGUAGCCGGAUAAGUAAGUCUUUGGUUAAAUCCUGCGACUUAACCGUGGGAAAUCUAGAGAUACUGCUUGUCUUGAGACCGGGAGAGGUUGGAGGUACUCCCAGGGUAGGGGUGAAAUCCUGUAAUCCUGGGGGGACCACCUGUGGCGAAGGCGUCCAACUGGAACGGGUCUGACGGUGAGGGACGAAACCUAGGGGAGCGAGCCGGAUUAGAUACCCGGGUAGUCCUAGGCGUAAAUGAUGCGAGUUAAGUGUGGGGGCAUCCACGGGAUGGCCCUGUGCUGUAGGGUAGCCGUUAAACUCGCCGCCUGGGGAGUACGGUCGCAAGGCUGAAACUUAA
rnacentral:rRNA from 1 species